ACGAGGCUCAGCUUUGUCCUUAGAAGACCCGCGGCAGCAGUUCCGCCCCAGCUCCAGGCCCGCUGAGGGAGCUGCGCUCGGUUUUCUGUCUCCAGCAUCAAUGUUUCAGUACAAGUGAAAAUGUCGCCUGCAACGUAACCUGGACCAAAGAACCCUGGAGAGAGCAAAUGAAAAGAAACUCCCAAAGCUUAGCUCGGAGUUUUCUCUUGGGCUCCCGUGGAAUUCUCCAUUUUCAGUCGCAGCCUGAGGCCUCAUGGAGAAGGCCACGCAGGAAGGAGCCACAAGUCAGAGGAAACUGGAAGAGUGGACACAAGGAGAGAGAUCACCAUGUGACGGGACUGAGAUGCCGGCCAAGUAACCUUAAGGACUGCAGCGAGCCAGCACAGGAACGUCGCUAACUCUGGGGAGAAAGCACGGCCCUACCAACACCUUCAUUUGGGUCUUCUAGCCUCCAAAACCAUGAGCCAAUAAAUGCUGGUUGUUCAAGUCAACUGAUUUU